rnacentral:rRNA from 1 species
GUUUGAUUCAUGGCUCAGAUUGAACGCUGGCGGCAGGCCUAACACAUGCAAGUCGAGCGGAUGAAGGGAGCUUGCUCCUGGAUUCAGCGGCGGACGGGUGAGUAAUGCCUAGGAAUCUGCCUGGUAGUGGGGGAUAACGUCCGGAAACGGGCGCUAAUACCGCAUACGUCCUGAGGGAGAAAGUGGGGGAUCUUCGGACCUCACGCUAUCAGAUGAGCCUAGGUCGGAUUAGCUAGUUGGUGGGGUAAAGGCCUACCAAGGCGACGAUCCGUAACUGGUCUGAGAGGAUGAUCAGUCACACUGGAACUGAGACACGGUCCAGACUCCUACGGGAGGCAGCAGUGGGGAAUAUUGGACAAUGGGCGAAAGCCUGAUCCAGCCAUGCCGCGUGUGUGAAGAAGGUCUUCGGAUUGUAAAGCACUUUAAGUUGGGAGGAAGGGCAGUAAGUUAAUACCUUGCUGUUUUGACGUACCAACAGAAUAAGCACCGGCUACUG